rnacentral:rRNA from 1 species
CCUACGGGCGGCAGCAGUGGGGAAUAUUGGACAAUGGGGGCAACCCUGAUCCAGCCAUGCCGCGUGUGUGAAGAAGGCCCUCGGGUUGUAAAGCACUUUCAGUGAGGAAGAACGCCUGGUGGUUAAUACCCAUCAGGAAAGACAUCACUCACAGAAGAAGCACCGGCUAACUCCGUGCCAGCAGCCGCGGUAAUACGGAGGGUGCGAGCGUUAAUCGGAAUUACUGGGCGUAAAGCGCGCGUAGGUGGCUUGAUAAGCCGGUUGUGAAAGCCCCGGGCUCAACCUGGGAACGGCAUCCGGAACUGUCAAGCUAGAGUGCAGGAGAGGAAGGUAGAAUUCCCGGUGUAGCGGUGAAAUGCGUAGAGAUCGGGAGGAAUACCAGUGGCGAAGGCGGUCUUCUGGACUGACACUGACACUGAGGUGCGAAAGCGUGGGUAGCAAACAGGAUUAGAUACCCCGGUAGUC